GAUGAACGCUGGCGGCGUGCUUAACACAUGCAAGUCGAACGGUGAAGGCGGAGCUUGCUCUGCUGGAUCAGUGGCGAACGGGUGAGUAACACGUGAGCAAUCUGCCCCUGACUCUGGGAUAAGCGCUGGAAACGGCGUCUAAUACUGGAUACGAGCUGCGAAGGCAUCUUCAGCAGCUGGAAAGAAUUUCGGUCAGGGAUGAGCUCGCGGCCUAUCAGCUUGUUGGUGAGGUAAUGGCUCACCAAGGCGUCGACGGGUAGCCGGCCUGAGAGGGUGACCGGCCACACUGGGACUGAGACACGGCCCAGACUCCUACGGGAGGCAGCAGUGGGGAAUAUUGCACAAUGGGCGAAAGCCUGAUGCAGCAACGCCGCGUGAGGGACGACGGCCUUCGGGGUGUAAACCUCUUUUAGCAGGGAAGAAGCGAAAGUGACGGUACCUGCAGAAAAAGCGCCGGCUAACUACGUG
rnacentral:rRNA from 1 species